UACGAAGGGGGCUAGCGUUGUUCGGAAUUACUGGGCGUAAAGCGCGCGCAGGCGGUCUUCCAAGUCAGUGGUGAAAGCCCGGAGCUCAACUCCAGAACUGCCUUCGAUACUGGGAGUCUUGAGUUCGGGAGAGGUGAGUGGAACUGCGAGUGUAGAGGUGAAAUUCGUAGAUAUUCGCAAGAACACCAGUGGCGAAGGCGGCUCACUGGCCCGAUACUGACGCUGAGGCACGAAAGCGUGGGGAGCAAACAGGG
rnacentral:rRNA from 1 species